ensembl:lncRNA
GUUUGUGUGUGUGUGUGUGUGUGUGUGUGUGUGUGUGUGUGUGUGUUAUGUACGUGUGUGUUUUUUAGGGAGGGUGCUUCUGUUUCCUCAGGAUAACACAUCAGCAUCUGGUAGCAAAUGAAGUGCCGGUGGCCGACAUUCCAUCAGACCUGUCUGGCAUCUCUGAAGAAGAAACGCACACACACACACCCCCCACACACACACACACACACUCGACGCUUCUGUGGACCCUCACACAUGGGAAUGGCACAGCAGUGAAGCGCUUGUCCACUGGAGCUGAAGGACGGUCCCACUGCCAUUUUGUUUCCUAGUGUCGAACCCUUCCGGAACCAUCAUGCCCAUCCUGAAGAAGCUCCCUGGGAGGUCCCGGAGUAACCUCAGCAACGGUGACGUGAUGCUCAAGAAUAACCAUGGCAAUAGCGAAACAACGCUACAGAGUAACCCCGGCAACGGCGAACUCAUACUUCCGCCAUCCAGCCUCAACCCCUUCGACGACGUGGACCUAGACAUAGGUUGGAACGAGGAAGAAGGCGGGGUAUGGGAGAGAGGGCGGGGCCUGACGAGGUCUUCACAUGAUGGGGAGGCACUGGAGAAUGAGCUGAAUGCAGAGCUGCAUGGAGGGUUGAAGGUCACAGACAGGUCGAAGGGUAGCUCUCCUCUGAGAGGGACCCUGGAGCGCAUAUGUGGGCUCGUCACCGCUGAAGACGUUGGGAAAACUGAGCAAGGGGCUGCGCCUGACUGGACGAAACGUGUGGAGCAACACCCUGCCGGCCACGCCCACUACCGGGAAGGAGAAGAAGAAGAAGAAGAAUCAUAGGAGACCAUCCGAGGAGAUCAUGACCUUGCUGAGGUCAGUGAAUUAUUCAUAUAUCAAAAAACCGAGAUCA